CCUGCCCAGAUCACCGAAGCAGCAGGAUGUGAGCUGUCCCACUGAAAAAGGCACUUAAAUAAGAAGUCAGCUUGUGUCAAGACUGAAAAAAAUUCAACAUCUGGUCAAUGAAGCUCUUCUGCCAAGGAAUUACCCCAAGAGAAUCUACCAGUUGAUUAAACUGACAUUUUAAUUUGAGUGUUUGCAAUGUUUAAAGGACUCUUCACAAUUAGCUGAAAAUUCUGCCUUUACUCUGAAUUACUCUUUAAGAGAGAGAAGAAAGAAAGAAAGCAAAGAGGAUAUAUAAGGAUUUUUGAACAAGACAAUGACUUUUAUACAGUAUAUAGCCAAAUUUGCUUUAACAAGUGGAAUAGUGUGGUUCUCAACAUUUGUCAGAGAAGUUGUCUGCAAUAGUUUAUGGUACACAUCAAGACUCCGAAUUCAAGGAGUAGAGAAUAAGCACUUGGAGAGAGCUCAUUCCCCAGUGGAACACAUGUAUCACAUUACCUCCCUCAAGGCUUACGAAGAAUCAAGGGAACGAAAUUCAGAAGACCAAGAGGAAUGUGUUAGCCAGUUGAUGUUGGCACACUCCUUUAAUUCCAGCAU